AUUGAACGCUGGCGGCAGGCCUAACACAUGCAAGUCGAGCGGAGCGGCUGACGGGUGAGUAAUGCCUAGGAAUCUGCCUGGUAGUGGGGGGUAACGUCAGGAGACGGGCGCUAAUACCGCAUACUAUCAGAUGAGCCUCGGUCGGCUUCUCUAGAUGGUGGGGUAAAGGCCUACCAAGGCGCCGAUCCGUAACUGGUCUGAGAGGAUAAUCAGUCACACUGGAACUGAGACACGGUCCAGACUCCUACGGGAGGCAGCAGUGGGGAAUAUUGGACAAUGGGCGAAAGCCUGAUCCAGCCAUGCCGCGGGGGGGAAGAAGGUCUUCGGAUUGUAAAGCACUUUAAGUUGGGAGGCGUUACCAACAGAAUAAGCACCGGCUAACUUCGUGCCAGCAGCCGCGGUAAUAC
rnacentral:rRNA from 1 species